CAGCCGCCGCGGGAACACGUAGGGGGCAAGCGUUAUCCGGAAUUAUUGGGCGUAAAGCGCGCGCAGGCGGAUCAGUCAGUCUGUCUUAAAAGUUCGGGGCUUAACCCCGUGAGGGGAUGGAAACUGCUGAUCUAGAGUAUCGGAGAGGAAAGUGGAAUUCCUAGUGUAGCGGUGAAAUGCGUAGAUAUUAGGAAGAACACCAGUGGCGAAGGCGACUUUCUGGACGAAAACUGACGCUGAGGCGCGAAAGCCAGGGGAGCGAACAGGAUUAGAUACCCGAGUAGUCCCUGUCUCUUAUACA
rnacentral:rRNA from 1 species